AAUGAACGCUGGCGGCGUGCCUAACACAUGCAAGUCGGAUGUGCCGCAAGGUGCAUGGCAGACGGGUGAGUAACGCGUGGGGAACCUACCUCUUCGUGGGGAAUAACGAUCCGAAAGGAUUGGUAAUACCGCAUGAGACCGACGGCUGGGAUGCUGUCGGUGAAAGCUGGGGACCGGAAACGGCCUGGCGCGAGGAGAGGGUCCUGCGUCUGAUUGGCUAGUUGGUGGGUAACGGCCUACCAAGGCAUCGAUCAGUAGCCGGCCUGAGAGGGUGAUCGGCCACACUGGAACUGAGACACGGUCCAGACUCCUACGGGAGGCAGCAGUGGGGAAUUUUGCGCAAUGGACGAAAGUCUGACGCAGCAACGCCGCGUGGGUGAUGAAGGUCUUCGGAUUGUAAAACCCUGUCGUCGGGGACGAAGGUAGGAGGGUUAAUAGCCUUUUGCUUGACGGUACCCGGAGAGGAAGCCCCGGCUAACUCUGUGCCAGCAGCCGCGGUAA
rnacentral:rRNA from 1 species